CGCCCCCUGCCGGCCGAUCGCCGCGCUGCGCUGCUCUCCUCUGCCAUGACGGCCGCGGGGCUGACGUUCCCCGCUGCGCGCCCGGGGCAGGCCGUGGCCGGAGCCCUCCGUGGGCUGCCAGAUGGCUGCGGUACAAAGGGCAGCCCGCCUCGUGUUUGCGUUACAAGGCACUGAACAAACGCAUCGCAGCUGACACCGCUCCAGCUUUGGGCGCGUGAGGUGUACCUGCCCUACCAGAACGAACCGUGAUUUAUACGACGUUUGUCCAAAGCAUUUUUCUUCUAUUAGCCGUACCACUGCGUGUCAGAGGCAGAACGUGGAUUUAUCCGCUGCUCGUGCUGCCCACAUCGCACAUAAUGCUGUGUGCACUGAGUAAAAAACACAGAAGUAAAUACUGUGCCUGCCAAGGGAGGACGUACAGAUGGAAGGCUCCGUCUCCAAGGGGAUUUGGAUCCGGAUCAACAUCCAGCAGCCGCAGCGGUUAGCGGAGCCCCGGCAGUGCUAAAGGUCUGAGGCACUCACUGCCUCUGAAGGAGCUCAGUGUGCCCCGAUGCCGUGGAA
rnacentral:lncRNA from 1 species